CAAAACCAGCUCGAGUUUCUCGGAGGGCAGCUCCUGUGGUAUGGUUGCCAAACAAACCGUGGAGCGGUUGACUUGCUAUGAUCCGCAGAGAACAGACCAGCUGUGAGAGGCGAGCAGACAAAGGCGAGAAAGAUCUCCUCAGCAAAGCUUCUCCGAGGGGCUAUGGUUUCCAUGUUCAUCAAGAAGCCUCAAAAUCCUAGAAAUUUGGAGGCUAUUUGCUUCACGGAUGCAGAAUGCCCAGGUGGAAACUGCUUUUUUCUAUGACCAGGCAUGGUAGUACACACCUGUAAUCCCGUCACUCAGGAAGCUGAGGCAGGAAGAUUGCUGCCUGGGAUAUCAAAACUAUCUUCAGGCAACAGUCUGGGAAAUUGGUCACCACGGCAGACCUCCUAUGGGAACCUUGAGAGAGCUUGUAAGAGACAGAGCACAAGACAGCAUCUGGUCUUCCUCGAUGCAGCAGAAGGAAACAGACAGAGGAACAAGGCAUAGCAUUCACCAUGCAUUUCACCUAGCACACAGGGGCUUACAGAACAGCUGCUAGUAAGGGAACAAGUGAACGAAUGGAGGAGAUCUCAGGACUUUGUCUCCAGUCUGCUCCAGGGGCCAGGAUGACUGUCCCAGCUUCCUGUGUCAUCCUGGAAAGAGGAAACAAUUUCUUUCCCUUUAAACCCCUUGAUUUUCAGUCAUGGCCCCAGUAACAUAAAACAGAUCAACAAGAGGAAAGUCACAAGUUUAUUGAAUACAAGUCAGUGGGCAAACUGCUUGCUGUUCAAGCAUGAGGGCCUGCAUCCCGAUCCCCAACAGCCAUGUCAAAGUUGGCCAUGAUGGCAUAUACCUGUAACUCCAUCCAGUGCUGGGGUUGGGGACAGGCAAAGACAGGGGAAUCUCUGUAGCCAGCCAGGCUAGAUGAGUGAAUGAGUACCAGGGUCAGUGAGAGACCCUGUCUCAAAAAAUAAGGUAGAUAGCAAAGAGAAAGAUACCAGAAACUGACAACCUGUAGCUUCCACAGAAGCAUGCAUAGGUGAGUGCAUACACAUACACACAUACACCACACACAUGCACAGACACACACAGACACAGACACACACACACACACCAUACAUGCACAGACACCACAUAGACAGACACGGACAUACACACAAUUAAAACAAAAGAAAAUGAAUACAUUUCCAUCCUCCAUUGGCUAGCUGUUUCGAUUUCAGCAAGUUACUGAAUUUAUUUGUCUCAGCUUCCUCAUUUAUCAAGUGAAGGGUAGAAAUCUCUGCUUUCCUGCACUUUUGUUAAGAUCCCACAUGACAGUGCAUGUGAAACACCUGUUUAGUCCACAUUAUUUUGUAUACAUGUUCACCUCCGUCCCUACCACCCCACCUCCACCCACAUUAUUUCUCCUUCUUGUUCUGGAGAAGUUGGGACAUUCAUGUAUGGCUUCAAAGAUAGCCAGAAGGAGGUUGAAAGAGCCUGUGGGAAGAGGACCAAAAUAGCCGGAACAGAAAGUCAA